CCGUCACGUCCAAAUGGUGCUGCAAGAAAAUUUUAACACGCCACUUCGUCGGAUGACUCCUUGCACCGAACUGGGUUCAAUGUGAUACCGACACGUACCGGUUGUUCCUUUGGAUCAAAGCACCCUGCUGGAAAGCUUACCUCCCUCCGCGUUGUCCAGGAAUAAUGCAACGUCACUUUACGAAAAGGUCGAGGAUCAGCUGUUACGUGGAAAAACAGCUUUGAGUGACGCCGGA
rnacentral:lncRNA from 1 species